UACGUAGGGUGCAAGCGUUGUCCGGAAUUAUUGGGCGUAAAGAGCUCGUAGGCGGUUUGUCGCGUCUGCUGUGAAAACUCGGGGCUUAACUCCGGGCCUGCAGUCGAUACGGGCAGACUAGAGUUCGGUAGGGGAGACUGGAAUUCCUGGUGUAGCGGUGAAAUGCGCAGAUAUCAGGAGGAACACCGGUGGCGAAGGCGGGUCUCUGGGCCGAUACUGACGCUGAGGAGCGAAAGCAUGGGGAGCGAACAGG
rnacentral:rRNA from 1 species